AGCCCGGUCGUAGAACGGAGACUACACCCCCGCCACUGCCACGGCUUGCACCCGCGGCGCAGACUAGGGGGAAGUGCGGGUUCGACUCCCGCCCGGGCUGCCA
rnacentral:tRNA from 1 species